GAUCAUAUACCCCCCGCCGCUGUGCUUACUUGUCAUGUGCUGCUAGACAUACAUAAAUACAUGACCAAAACGAUAUUUAGUUGUCUGUUAUGGUUGGCAAAGUCUGUCCAGUUUGCAAAGUCUCGUGUACAUUCAUGUUUCCAUGCACAGUAGUAAGUUCUCACUAAGUAUUAUAUUUGCCUCUGGAUGCUAGCAUUGUAUUUCCAUAGAGGAAAAAAAUGAUGGUUCUGUGUUAGAUCUUUCAUACUGGAUCAAUACUGGCUCACCAGAAUAUAUACACUACACACUCAUUCUGGAAGUUCCUUUCAAGUGACAAACGAGUGCAUAUUUUUUUUACAAUGCACCAUGGUUUCUUGUUUCUGUUGUGAAAGUAAUGUCAAUGGUGUUGCAUAGUUCUGAAUAAAAAUGCAAAUGGCUUGUGAAUGUCAAUGAACUUACAAUAUCAGUCUCUUAGAGUUGUUUUUGCAACCUAAUACUGUUGUAAAAUCCUUUCCUUGAGCUGCGGUUGAUGUGGUGAUCUGCUGUUGUGGAUGAUGCAUGCAGGGGCUGCUGGAGAACACGGAGAAGGACAGGGUCCGGAGGCUGAUAGGCUGACGACUGCCAGUGAGAGCGAACCGCGACCGCCACCUCCAAGCAAGCCAACAAAACCUAGGAGGCACAUAAUGGCCAGGCCUCCCAAUGGAUUGGGAAAUAAGGGCAACCCAUCCAGCUGCUUGCCAACCACUACAAAGUCUCUGUCAAGCCUUCAGAGGAUUUUUUCAACCACUACUAUGAGCUUGGUAUCACCGCACUGCACAUUAAGCUCCGUGCCACUGGAGGCAACAAGACCAAGACACCAGGUCCUGGAGCUCAGUCUGCUCUCAGGGCUCUUGCUCGUUCUGGGAUGAAAAUUGGGCGUAUUGAGGACAUGACUCUAGUUCCCACUGACAGCACCCGCCGGAAGGGAGGAAGGAGGGGAAGGAGGCUGUAGGCUAUCUUUCAACUCUACUCGUGGCAAUCAAGAAACUUACUGCUCUCUGGUAGUCCUGCUAUUUCUAUGAUUGUCAUGAGGAGCUUUAAUUUUGCUUUGUUGAGGAUCAGUUGUUGUUAGUCGUACUAUGAAUGUUGCAUGAAUCCUAUUUUUGGUUCAGAAACUUGUGGUAUUUAUGCGAAAAACUAGCUUUUCGGUCUUAAGGAAACCUUGAAAUGGAGUGAUAUCUUUUGUCA